rnacentral:rRNA from 1 species
AGUGAACGCUGGCGGUAGGCCUAACACAUGCAAGUCGAACGGCAGCACAGUAAGAGCUUGCUCUUACGGGUGGCGAGUGGCGGACGGGUGAGGAAUACAUCGGAAUCUACUUUUUCGUGGGGGAUAACGUAGGGAAACUUACGCUAAUACCGCAUACGACCUACGGGGGAAAGCAGGGGAUCUUCGGACCUUGCGCGAGUGAAUGAGCCGAUGUCGGAUUAGCUAGUUGGCGGGGUAAAGGCCCACCAAGGCGACGAUCCGUAGCUGGUCUGAGAGGAUGAUCAGCCACACUGGAACUGAGACACGGUCCAGACUCCUACGGGAGGCAGCAGUGGGGAAUAUUGGACAAUGGGCGCAAGCCUGAUCCAGCCAUACCGCGUGGGUGAAGAAGGCCUUCGGGUUGUAAAGCCCUUUUGUUGGGAAAGAAAAGCAGCAGGUUAAUACCCCGCUGUUCUGACGUUACCCAAAGAAUAAGCACCGGCUAACUUCGUG